rnacentral:rRNA from 1 species
AUACGGAAGGUCCGGGCGUUAUCCGGAUUUAUUGGGUUUAAAAGGAGCGCAGGCGGAGAUGCAAGCGUGACGUCAAAUUUCGGGGCUCAACCCCGUCUCGCGUCGCGAACUGCGUCCCUUGGUUGCGGGAAGGGGAGGCGGAACUCGUGGUGUAGCGGUGAAAUGCAUAGAUAUCACGAAGAACUCCGAUCGCGAAGGCAGCCUUCCGGCCCGUCAACGACGCUCAUGCUCGAAGGUGCGGGUAUCAAACAGGAUUAGAUACCCUGGUAGUCCGCACAGUAAACGAUGGACACCCGCGGUUUGGCCUGUAUGGCUGAGCCGCCAAGCGAAAGCGUUAAGUGUCCCACCUGGGGAGUACGCCGGCAACGGUGAAACUCAAAGGAAUUGACGGGG